rnacentral:rRNA from 1 species
UACGUAGGGGGGCAAGCGUUGUCCGGAUUUAUUGGGCGUAAAGAGCGUGUAGGCGGUCUGGUAGGUCCGUUGUGAAAACUCGAGGCUCAACCUCGAGACGCCGAUGGAAACCAUCAGACUAGAGUCCGGAAGAGGAGAGUGGAAUUCCUGGUGUAGCGGUGAAAUGCGCAGAUAUCAGGAGGAACACCAAUGGCGAAGGCAGCUCGCUGGGACGGUACUGACGCUGAGACGCGAAAGCGUGGGGAGCAAACAGG